UUGCUUCUAAAAGUUGUGCACUGCUAUGAUUGCAUUAGAGAGAAAAGCAAAUAAAAAUUACACUAGUGUUGCAACAAGAAUACUAAGAAAAUAGAGGAAAAUGUAAAAUCAAUUACUACACUUAAAACACUCAAGCUGAGAGAAUAAUUUCAAAAGCCUUUUUCUAAAGUAACAUCUACAACUGUUAUUCAUUAAGUACACAGAAAUCUUUAAUUUCCUUUUCGUAUCCAGAAGCUGUAAAACAGUCAGAUAACACAUUAAUAGAAAAAAAAUAUCAGUCCUUGUCUCCUUCAGAAUGUCUUUCAUCUCCUUACUGUUCAAUAGUUGACGAAAGCCAGUGGUCGUUUUUUUUCUAUUGCCAUUCUCAAUCGUUAUUUGAGAUAAACACGUCAAACAGGCAUGCUGGUGGUACCCAGAAGCCAGAGCAUGUGUUUCUCACUGAAGAUAAAUAUUUUUUUCCUCACAUACAUCAAGUCAGUCAGUGGAAAGACCUUACAUAAAGAGCUGAUCUCAUGAUCCGGAAUAUUAUUCCACUCAUGAUGUCACGGUUUUAUCACUUUCCCUCAGAAGAAAUUUUACACACUAUAGGUCAGCAUUAAGUGGUCCAGAAACAUUUCAAGCAAAGCAUUUGCUAUAACACAGUUAAAUUCUUUACUUCCUUCAGGGAAGUUGAAUGUCGAUAGUAAUAGAUAUUAUGCCUCCCAAUUGUAUUUAUCCUUGAACGGAGUUAAAGGCGAUGUUAUGACACACCAAGUACAAUUGAAGACUGUAAAAGAUAGAUAAAUUAUCCAGAGUAAAAGAGUGAUACUGUAAAUCAAAAAAGAUACCAAUUAUAAAGGGUUGUCUAUGAGUGUUUUCCAGGAAGGUUGCUGAUUGCUCCGUUUCCAGAUUUAUAGGUUGCAGAUCAUCUAACUUAAAUCCAGAAAAAUGAGCUCUAGCAGAAAUCUGUUGGAGAUAUCCAAUUGAUUCGGAGCCCAUCUUAGAUGACAAAACCUGAAAGUAAUAUAUGAAAAUAAUCAUCAGAGCGACAAUGAUUUUCAAAUAUGUGCCAAAAUACGAUGUUGGAUUAAAUCAUAACAGAAACAUCUUAGCCAUUAAAAUUUAGCACAACAUGCAAAGGGCACUCUGUGAAAGACAGGAUUUCUCAUAGAAUUAAUGGUUAGUCAAAGAUAGAGCGAGAGAGAGAGUGAGACCAAAUAGAGGCACAAGAAAUGGGAUUGCCAAAGUCAGGCAGCAGCAACCUACUAUGCUAUUCGUUAUAACCUAUCAAAUUAAUGAAUCGCCAGAAAGAAAAUAUUUGAUUGACCUAGAGCUUCUCACCAAAUGGUUCAUAACACGCUUAUCUUCUAUCCCUAAGGCUCAUUUCUUAUACUGACUCUACUGUACUAAAUAUAUACAUCCACGAACCAUCCCAAUCAGAAUACCUGGUAGAAUGGGGUUAUCAUAAAAGCACAUUUCAUCAGACAACCUUCCAUCAUGACUUUCGUUUCAGCAUAACUGCAAUCAAACUUUACGAUACCUAAGCUCGUCAAAAAAGCAGUCGACAUUUUAUAUGAAUAAGACUGCAUCAUGAUGCCUUGUAAUGUGGAAUAUAUUUGGCUGAAAAUGAUUGGCAUUUUAAACAUAAAUACACUCGCGUGAUUCCAAAUGGUCUCCGAUGUAUCCCGUAUUUAUCAAAUUUUCAUACCAGCACGUCCAUUGCUACUCCUUUUUCAGGUAAAGGGAUAAAUUUUCGAUUUUUACAAACCCAAGGUUUAUACUCGUAGUAUACAUAAAUUCAACUUAGAUGAAAAUCCUGAAAAUUUCAUGACCUUCAGCUGCACCGCUCCAGAUGGGAAAGCGUUUUAUGUCUGUCUUUAUAUUAAAAAAAAAGAUGUUAUAUUUGUUUUGGAAAUUCAACGAAAGCAAGAACAGCAUCUGUCGUUGAAAUUCAGACACAGUUAUUUUGAUUAAAUCUCCAACAUUCAUAUUGUAAAUGUAGAUUGAAUUGUUGCUGAAACCCCAUUGGCGUAGGAUAGGAUGCAAGACAGAUAUGGCCAAGCAACCAUUCCACAAGCACCAAUGCUCCAAUGCGUUCGCAUCCAAAAAACACCGAAUCCUCGAUCAAAGGCCCAAAAGAAUGAAAAAAAACUCAUUGGCGCCGGUUAAACCACCACAGUUGCCCACGACAUGUAUCUCUAAAAAACCAGGCGAGGCAGACUGAACAGAACACGAAAUGCGAGGCAGAGACCAGACGGAUUUCGCCUUCCCCAACAUCAAAACACGGGUCCCUGAACAAACCUUUCAGCAUCAAAACCGGUCUCCGAGUUUCCCGGAAGAAAUCCGGGCUCGUGAUCUUCGCCUGCGAGAUU
rnacentral:lncRNA from 1 species